ACCAGACUCCUACGGGAGGCAGCAGUGAGGAAUAUUGGUCAAUGGGCGAGAGCCUGAACCAGCCAAGUCGCGUGAGGGAGUACUGCCCUAUGGGUUGUAAACCUCUUUUGUCGGGGAGCAAAAGCCGGACGUGUCCGGCUGUGAGAGUACCCGAAGAAAAAGCAUCGGCUAACUCCGUGCCAGCAGCCGCGGUAAUACGGAGGAUGCGAGCGUUAUCCGGAUUUAUUGGGUUUAAAGGGUGCGUAGGCGGGGUGCCAAGUCAGCGGUCAAAUACGGGGGCUCAACCUGCGUCCGCCGUUGAAACUGGCGUUCUUGAGUGGGCGAGAAGUACGCGGAAUGCGUGGUGUAGCGGUGAAAUGCAUAGAUAUCACGCAGAACCCCGAUUGCGAAGGCAGCGUACCGGCGCCCGACUGACGCUGAAGCACGAAAGCGUGGGUAUCGAACAGGAUUAGAUACCCCGGUACAG
rnacentral:rRNA from 1 species